rnacentral:rRNA from 1 species
UACGAAGGGGGCUAGCGUUGUUCGGAAUUACUGGGCGUAAAGGGCGCGUAGGCGGUCCUGAUCGUCGGAUGUGAAAGCCCUCGGCUCAACCAAGGAAGUGCAUCCGAAGCUGCUGAGCUUGAGUACUUAAGAGGAUCGCGGAAUUCCCGGUGUAGAGGUGAAAUUCGUAGAUAUCGGGAGGAACACCGGUGGCGAAGGCGGGUCUCUGGGCCGAUACUGACGCUGAGGAGCGAAAGCGUGGGGAGCGAACAGG